rnacentral:rRNA from 1 species
GACGAACGCUGGCGGCGUGCUUAACACAUGCAAGUCGAACGGAAAGGCCUGCUUUCCCUUGUGGAUUGCGGGUACUCGAGUGGCGAACGGGUGAGUAACACGUGAGUGAUCUGCCCCCAACUUGGGUAUAAGCCUGGGAAACUGGGUCUAAUUCCCGAUAGGACUGCAGGGUGGUGCCUGUGGUGGAAAACGAUUUUCUAGUGGUUGGGGAUGAGCUCGCGGCCUAUCAGCUUGUUGGUGGGGUAAUGGCCUACCAAGGCGGCGACGGGUAGCCGGCCUGGGAGGGUGGACGGCCACAUUGGGACUGAGAUACGGCCCAGACUCGUACGGGAGGCAGCAGUGGGGAAUAUUGCACGAUGGGCGGAAGCCUGAUGCAGCGACGCCGCGUGGGGGAUGACGGCCUUCGGAUUGUAAACUCCUUUCGACCGCGAGGAAGCCACCUGGUUGGAAGGGUGGUGACGGUAGUGGGAGAAGAAGCACCGGCUAACUACGUG